UUAACUAUUAUAUAAUACUCUGACGACAAAUUACAAAAGAGUGGAGGUCCCCUGGCAGGCACUGACCAGCAGUAGCCGGUGGUCUAUACACGGGCCUGCCAAAGCAACAAAGGUAUUGUAAGCAAAGGGUGGGAGAUAUACCCCAAAGGGCAUUUUCUCAUUAAUGAUCCUUCCGCAGGUUCACCUACGGAAA
rnacentral:misc_RNA from 1 species